rnacentral:rRNA from 1 species
AUUGUAGGCUGCAACUCGCCUACAUGAAGUCGGAAUUGCUAGUAAUCGCGGAUCAGCAUGCCGCGGUGAAUACGUUCCCGGGCCUUGUACACACCGCUCGUCACACCAUGAGAGCCGGUAACACCCGAAGUCAGUAGCCUAACCGCAAGGGGGGCGCUGCCGAAGGUGGGAUUGGUAAUUGGGGUGAAGUCGUAACAAGGUACC